UGCGCCGAUGGGAAUGGGGUUCUCCCGAUAACCGCCCGGCGAACAGACAAUCCAGGUUCGUUGCGCUGAUGACUCCUACCGCUGA
rnacentral:ncRNA from 2 species